rnacentral:lncRNA from 1 species
CAUCUAACGGUUCCUUUAAUGUACAUUUUACAUCAAGAAAUACAGUCCACAAUCCUAAAUGCAAGCAUAGGUUCAUGCAGGCUUAUUAGAACAUACUUUGAGGUGUCAAGAUUAAAAGCACUGGCAAGCAUUACAUUCAUUAGUUAGGGUUUGGAUGCUCGCUUGAGUGUUAUUGUUUUGGUUGAAAUGUUAUUUUAGAAUCCUAUAAUUUCUACCCAAAAUCACUAGUCCAGUUAGGCAGCAGACUGUCUCUGUACUGACAGGACCACAGAAAUAAUAUUAUUAUUGCCCUAAAAAAAGCCUCAGAAAAUGCACCACAAGUGAAAGGAAUGGUGUAUUUUUCACUUUGUCCUGUUAUAAACAGUGUCCUUCCUGGAAGGCUCAUUCUUUUAAAACGGAAUGAAAUGACAAAAUGACAGAAAAUAUAAAUGCAAACAGAGGGAAUCGGAAAAGGUGUGAAUGUCUACAGAGUAUGACAGGCAGGGCUUGUCUCCGAUUUCCGUGCUGACUAAGUCCUCAGUACUAGAGGGCUCUGGCUGCUUGUUCCGAUGAGUCUCUCUCACUCCGAGGACAGACUCCGCAGCAACUGCUGAAUUUUCUCUUCUUGUUGUCAUUCCUCUCGCACGCCGCAUCUCUGGCGCCGAAAGGAAGCUGGUACCAUUCCUUUUGGCUUCCAGGCUACCAUCUGUGUACCCUCAGGGAGUCAACAAGAGAAGAACAAGGGCCAGAAACCAGAACACAGGUGAAAAGAGGUAAACAGAAGCUUCUUGUUUCUGUAAAGGAAUGUUCAAGCCUCAAAAGCACAAGAGCAAAUGGAGCAAGAGGAAUCCCUUGCCCAAACUAAAAACUGAUAAACCUACAAUUGAAAUGGAUGGAAAAAAAGAGGACACUGACUUUCGAUUCAGGUUCUAAUUCUUGCAGGAUGCAUGUAUUUACUUGAAUUGCCUAGUGAAGGACACUCGCCACAGAUUUGGGAUAAAUCACAGCAGGACAGUUCAGCCUUUGACAAUAUAGAUCCAGAAGGUAUUAUAAUAGCUCAGCUACACAAGUAGCAUGCAAGCAGAAAUCAAACAGAAGACACCCCACAGACUACAUGUUGGGCAGCUCUGAUUAAGAUGGGUGCCACCUUUUUCCUGCAGUUCUCUUCUCCUGUUCAUAUUUAACUUCACUUCUCCUGUUGAUAUUUAACUUCAGAGUACCCAGCUCAGCCACAUGUGAAACUAGUCUUCAGACACUGUUAGCACACAAGGAAUUGUUCCAACAUCGCCUACUAAGUGUUUGUUUCCAGUGACAUAAAGACAACUCUAACAAAAAAACUGGACUUCUUCAUUCGUUCUUAGGAAAGUGGGUCCAACUGAGAUCCUUGGAAGUGGUGUGGGAGGGGGAAAAGACAUCCGGUAGCCACAUGAUGAGGCUUGUUUUGCUGACAGAAGGCAAAUAGAAAUAGGCAAGCUGAAGAAAGUUUAGGUUUGUUUCCUCAGCCUUGUGCAUAAGCCUAGAAUCCAGAUGAAGUAAGCAUGUGCUGAGCACAAGAUUUCACUGAUACAUAAAGAUGUCAUCUCGCUCACAAAUUUUUUUGCUGAGGUUGCUCAGUAUUUCCUAAUGCAGUUAAUAAGGUGAGGUGCUCUAUUUGGGAAUUCUGGCUAGGUUUUUGGAGCAACUUCAACUCUCUCUGGUCAACCAGAGGAAGGCUGUGAGCAGCAGCAGCAAGGCAGCUCUGGCUUCACAGGCUCCCAGUGAUUCACCACGCCAUCCACAGGCUGGUCUGAAGGUCAGCGCAGCAGGCAAAUCCCCAGACUCCAUGUUUCCAUAGAUCCAGCAGCCCUGGAGCCACACUUGUAUAG